rnacentral:rRNA from 1 species
AUAGCGUAUAUUAAAGUUGUUGCAGUUAAAAAGCUCGUAGUUGAACCUUGGGUUUGGCUGGUCGGUCCGCCUCACCGCGUGUACUGGUCCGGCCGAACCUUUCCUUUUGGGGAAUCGCAUGCCCUUCACUGGGUGUGUCGAGGAUCCAGGACUUUUACUUUGAAAAAAUUAGAGUGUUCAAAGCAGGCCUAUGCUCGAAUACAUUAGCAUGGAAUAAUAGAAUAGGACGUGUGGUUCUAUUUUGUUGGUUUCUAGAGUCGCCGUAAUGAUUAAUAGGGAUAGUUGGGGGCAUUAGUAUUCAGUUGCUAGAGGUGAAAUUCUUGGAUUUACUGAAGACUAACUACUG